UACGGAGGGUGCAAGCGUUGUCCGGAUUUAUUGGGUUUAAAGGGUGCGUAGGCGGCUCAUUAAGUCAGCGGUGAAAGCCUCCAGCUCAACUGGAGAACUGCCAUUGAUACUGAUGAGCUUGAGUAUACUUGAGGUAGGCGGAAUUGACAGUGUAGCGGUGAAAAUGCAUAGAUAUUGUCAAGAACACCAAUUGCGAAGGCAGCUUACUAAAAUUUAUAAACUGACGCUGAGGCACGAA
rnacentral:rRNA from 1 species